rnacentral:SRP_RNA from 1 species
CCGCAUGUUGAUCAGGUGCCCGCACUAAGCUUGACAUCAGCAUGGAUCUGCUAGAGGAAUCUAGUAGGUGCAGGUUAGCUAAGGAGGAGCGUAGUGGGUCAGGAGGGAAACCUAGCAGCCAAAAGUUCCCGUGUUCGGCAGUAGUGGGAUCGUGCCAGUGAGUGGGCGUCAUGCAACAGCCUCAACGAAAUAGCCAAACCUCUAUCUUU